rnacentral:piRNA from 1 species
UAUGGCUGAGGAGAAUGGAGAAU